CUCUCUGUCCGUUAGGAGUACACUGACAUCUCUCUGUCCGUUAGGAGUACACUGACAUCUCUCUGUCCGUUAGGAGUACACUGACAUCUCUCUGUCUGUUAGGAGUACACUGACAUCUCUCUGUCUGUUAAGAGUACACUGACAUCUCUCUGUCCGUUAGGAAUACACUGACAUCUCUCUGUCUGUUAGGAGUACACUGACAUCUCUCUGUCUGUUAGAAGUACACUGACAUCUCUCUGUCCGUUAGGAGUACACUGACAUCUCUCUCUGUUAGGAGUACACUGACAUCUCUCUGUCUGUUAGGAGUACUCUGACAUCUCUCUGUC